ensembl:snRNA U6 U6 spliceosomal RNA
AUGUGAUAAUGCACACAUACUAAAAAUUUGGACCCAUCCAGAGAAGAUCAGCAUGGCCCCCGCACAAGGAUGACACGCAGGAACACGUGAUACUUCUGUGGUUG